CCUACGGGAGGCAGCAGUGAGGAAUAUUGGUCAAUGGUCGGGAGACUGAACCAGCCAAGCCGCGUGAGGGAUGAAGGUACAGAGUAUCGUAAACCUCUUUUGUCAGGGAACAAAGGCGGGGACGUGUCCCCGGAUGAGUGUACCUGAAGAAAAAGCAUCGGCUAACUCCGUGCCAGCAGCCGCGGUAAUACGGAGGAUGCGAGCUUUAUCCGGAUUUAUUGGGUUUAAAGGGUGCGCAGGCGGUCUGUUAAGUCAGCGGUCAAAGCCCGGGGCUCAAACCCGGCCCGCCGUUGAAACUGGCAGUCGCGAGUUGGAGAGAAGUAUGCGGAAUGCGCGGUGUAGCGGUGAAAUGCAUAGAUAUCGCGCAGAACUCCGAUUGCGAAGGCAGCAUGCCGGCUCCACACUGACGCUGAGGCACGAAAGCGUGGGUAUCGAACAGGAUUAGAUACCCUUGUAGUC
rnacentral:rRNA from 1 species